AAUCAACGCUGGCGGCGUGCCUCAGACAUGCAAGUCGAACGAUUAAACUUUCCUUCGGGAAAGAUAUAAAGUGGCGCACGGGUGAGUAACACGUAAGUAAUCUACCUUCGGAUGGGGAAUAACAGUCGGAAACGACUGCUAAUACCGCAUAAUGCAGCGGCACCUAAUGGUGACAGUUGUUAAAGUAUUUAUACGUCUGGAGAGGAGCUUGCGGCAGAUUAGCUAGUUGGAAGGUAAUGGCUUACCAAGGCUACGAUCUGUAGCCGACCUGAGAGGGUGGUCGGUCACACUGACACUGAAUAACGGGUCAGACUCCUACGGGAGGCAGCAGUCGGGAAUUUUGGGCAAUGGGCGAAAGCCUGACCCAGCAACGCCGCGUGAAGGAUGGAGUCUUUCGGGAUGUAAACUU
rnacentral:rRNA from 1 species